UACGUAGGGGGCAAGCGUUGUCCGGAUUUAUUGGGCGUAAAGAGCGUGUAGGCGGUUCGGUAGGUCCGUUGUGAAAACUCGAGGCUCAACCUCGAGACGCCGAUGGAAACCAUCGAACUAGAGUCCGGAAGAGGAGAGUGGAAUUCCUGGUGUAGCGGUGAAAUGCGCAGAUAUCGGGAAGAACACCCGUGGCGAAGGCGGCUCUCUGGGACGGUACUGACGCUGAGACGCGAAAGCGUGGGGAGCGAACAGG
rnacentral:rRNA from 1 species